AUCCGGCAGCACGGGUCGUCUGACACCUUGGAUUGUGGUGGGAAUGGACUUGGUGAGAUGGUUAAAUCUCAUGCCUUUCACGCCGAAAACCUGGAAUCGAAUCCCACUCCCGACAAACUCACAAAAAUGUGAGUUCUUCCUUCUAAAGGGAUGCAAAGCGUGGGUCGCAAGAUGAACUAAAAAUCUCGUUAAUGCAGACACAAAAUAAAAGCCUUGAAUUGGAGUUACCUGUUUGGCGACCUUUCAUCACCGAAACAGGUGACCCGUAGUGCUAUUCUAAGCCGAUAGCUUCACGAGCAGUGUCACAGCUUAGACUGAGGCUCAAACUCCACUAAUUCCCUACUGUUCCACAGUAGGAUGUUAGAAUUUCAGAACGAAUUGCAUUUCGCCCAAGGAUUCAUCCAUGGUUGCCCUACAGUAAAUUCGACCUACUGACUGACUGACAACCAACAACCGACAAACACAAACACCAUCAUAACUGACGUUCAAAAAGGCUUCAUUCCGAAAUUGCGAUACUCUCUGGUGCGGUGGGUGCGUUUGUUUUCGAAUGGUCAUAGUGAAAAUCCUGCCAACAGGGGGUAUCCGAUGUAGUUAAAAAGUGUCGCAAACCGUAGAUUAGGACUCGAUUAGUGCGCCGUUAGUGAAAUUUUGAACGGAAGUGAUUGUUUUGCCAGGAAAUUCUGCCAAGUGUUGGAAAUGUGACAUUUCAGCUUCUGGCAAAUUGGGGGCUAGGGUUCAGCGGCAAAUAUUUUGAAGUUAAUGUUUCUGAAUGGGUCGCUGGAUGUAGUGGUACGUGAAAGGAAGAGAGUAGAGCAUUGUGAGAGAGCCGCACGCACAAACAAUCACAUUGAGUGGACACGUGAGAAAGCACAUAGGAGGUUUCCCUCUCGUGAGAAAAUUUUCUCAUCGUUAGAAAAGCGUGUGGGGAAGAAGGCGCCAGGAAAAAUUUGAAAAACUCCGAGAAGUUGGGCUAGGCAUUCGACUUCUCUGGGAACGAACGUUCAGUCUGUUUUUAGCUUUCGGUGAAUUUGUGUCGGACUCCUCCUACGUACGGCCAGAUGAGGCGAAUGAUACUCAAGAUAUAGUAUAAUUAAUUAUCUGCACCUCUCUUGUAUAGAGCUGGGAAAUGUGAAAUCAUAAACAGUGUAAAAAAUGUACAGCAAAUGAGUGUUAUCGUUACUGCCGUACCCCAUAGCCAAUCCAACCAAAUUCGGUGUGCGUGUUGAUGUUCCUCAUCUUUUUCGUGAAAACGUUCGUAUCCCAGUAUUGUUAAUCUCCCGACGGAGUAAGUAAAAAUUGGUGCAAUUUCGAGUGACUGACGAAUUUGUAUCGAAAGAUUCUCCAAAGCGUCUGGCCAAUCGAAGAGUUACUGUGCUGCAUGAGAUCUCGUUGCCAAUCGGACAGCAGCAGAAGGGAAAUUUUCAUCCAGCCGUCACAAUAUGUUCAAAAAUAUCUCACAUCUGAAGAGGAGAUGAAAGCAAACUCGGUGUGGUAGUACGUAAAUUCAGGGCGCCUCUUCUGUGGGAGGAAUUUUCAGCGCUCCGUGGAUUGCCAGAUUCCCUCGUGGUCAGCAUCCUACCCCCUGGCUCGGUGUGAAAGGUGUAGAGAAGAGAAUGAAGAAGAUAUCGUUUUGAUGAAUUCUGGACCGCUGUCAAGAGCGCCUUGAAGAGGCCAGGGGAUUCCGCGAGUGUGUGUUUCUGUGUACGAAGUUAAUGGCAGGCAAAUUUUACGAUCAGCCCCAUCCACAUCCAAGUGAAGUGUGUUUCUUCUGCGGAGCCGUGCCGGGCCGCCGAGUGUGAGUGUCGCAACAACAGUGCGCCUAAUUAAUUGCCGUCUGGCGCAAAGGCGAAACGACGAAAAACAGAACAGUUGCCGCAAUCCAGCAGGUGACAACUGGUGUUUCUUUCUAGGUGGUAGAUUUAAAUGCAUCUGGCUUUCCUCCAGCUCAAAAUGAAGUAAUCUUAACGAAGAAAAUACCCUGUCAUAAUUGCAGAAGAGAGAAUUCUUUAAGAAGAGAGUAACCCAUAAUGUAGUAAGUACUAUAAAAGUGAUUCUCCAUAUGCCCGAUAGUGAUAUCAACUAUACACAUAUAUCCAUGUAUUUUACGGUGUUCUUGUAUGAGAAAAAGAAGCAGUAAAGAUUAAUUGAUUCAGUGCAGCUCACCCAUAAAAAAUAAAGUGUCAAACAUAGGAAAGACAACCAACCCACGACGACGGCAGCAAAGUGAAAAUCUCAAGCAUCAAAUAUUGAAUACGAAAAAGAAAAUCAUAAAGUGUUCAACCCCCCAUAGUGUACCCGAUCAGCGUGUAAGUGUUUCAGGCACGAAAAGUGAAAAACAACCUUUCGCAUCCACUCCCAAGGAAAAAAAAGUUCCGUGCGUGUUUUCGUCGUCUUUGUACGAAUGAGAAUCCAAAGUGCUGCCACCAUCGCAGGAAGAAAGUCAACCAGCGCAGCAGAAAACCCACCAGCAAUAGUGUAGUAGUGCUGAAGGAAUUUAUGAUAAUUACUUUGCGCAGAUAAAAACGGCGAAAAAAACAUCGCGGGACUAUAAAUAUACACUUGUGUGUUGUGGGAAAGUAAUACGUGUCGUUUCGGGAAGAAGAAAAGUGCUGCAAAAAUGUUGCUGAUAGUGUGCUGAUGAUUCCGGCAAAGUAGCAACGAAGAUUGUGUGCUUAGUCCAAAACUAGUGGCAGCUGGCUUGCGAAGAUAUCAAGUGAAGAUUCCCAACUCGGCGAUGGAAGAAAAACGAGUGACGGGAUCUUGUUGAGUGAAAAUUUAAAAUUAACUUUUCUCAACCUCCAGCGAAUCAGCUACUCCUAAUCGCACGUCUAGUGCAAUAAAUCGUUCUCAUUACCGUUAACGCUACGAUCUAGCAACCAAUACUAUGCUCAAAGUGUCUGGUUUCGUUCCCAUCUGGUGGUACAACGACUCGUAAUAACCUGGGUCGAAACGUGACCUUUGAAACACCAUAUUCGAGUAAGACACGCCUCAAAUCGCCGUAAUUCAUGUUAACUCCCAACCCCCAAUCCAGUGUUUACUGUUGAUACUGUUUUCUGAACUUAGUCGAUCUAAACUUUUGGAAACUUUGCAGUUAAACAAGCUUAGCAAAACACAUUGAAGAAAAGCGAGCAGUGCGAAGAGGGAAAAACAUCCCAUGCUCCAGUCGCCCUCAGUUGGAUGAAAGUUGGAAAGCGAAAUUACGUGAAAACGGUCCUAUGUAUGUGAACCAGUGUCAGUGCGAACAGCUUGUAAUCAGGCCGGAGGGAGCAGGGAAAAGUUUCUUACCCAAUUUGAACCUCUCCGAGAAGACAUCCAUGAAGAAGUGAACGAACGUGACAUCUUGGAAAGAAGAAAAAAAGUAGCACAAACCAUCGGACAAAACCUUGUGAUUCCAGCGGACAUAGAGAGCGAAAAGCGCAGCUUCGACCAUUAUUGCCAGGAACAAUUAAAUGACUUGACGUAGAGCUAGCCGCCCCUGUACCUCAAGCUCCCCCCAGAUUCUAGUUUACGAUCCCGUUGCUCGACCUUCAUUCUGAUUUUCUUUCUUAUUAUAUCACAUCGACCACCAACAACCCCCCAAAUGAACACCGAAAACCACCGAAACCACCACAAUUCAAUCCAAGUGCAUCACCCUGGCCCACGUCCACAACAUUAUCGUAGUGCAACACGCUCCCCCGCUCCCAACAGCAUCGCGUACGAAUGAUUAGAUGCUUAUAAACACCGACUUAGUCUUUCUUAGAGAACAGGUGCGUAGACCCUCCGAGAUCAGUACGGAAUGGAUUAAGACCCAUUCGCUGGUUGCUUUCUUGUUCGGCGUUUUUUGUUGGCUUGUUCAAUGUUUGUAAUGAAUAUUUUAAUACCUUUCUUUUGUAAUAUUUUGGCAAGAAUUUACUUUGAAACGGGCAGAAGACAUUCUUUUCAUAGUUAGAGUUUCUCAAUUACUGCUUGCAAUAUUGUUUCAAUUUACCAAAUUUCGAGUUCAAUCGAUUUGAAAUUCAGUUAACUAUGUAUUUUUACUUGACUACAGUUUUGUUGUUCAGCGAUUGUAACAUUUUUUUACUAAGUAGCAGUAAUCGAGAAUUGAAUCAAAUGACAUUACAUGAUGACAUAUUCUUUCUUUGAUUAUCAUUAUUUAUUAUGCCUCUCAAGAAAAAUCAGAAUAUGGCGAUUAUCUGCCUCUGGCUUCUGAUAUUAGCGCGACAGUCACUAAUCAUAACAGCGUCACCAGAUUUAAAAGUAUAUAAUUCCACUAUAUGGGGUUUGACAGCAAGAACACUCAUUCCACUGAGCUACUCUUGCCGUUCGUCACAAACACAUUCAAAAACAUUUGUCACUUCGCGAAACCCACGUGCUUUUGUUUUUGGUGGGAUCAGUUUUUCUUUUGUUUUGCCUUGCGACUGUCAUGCGGCGGUAUGCCUUGCGAGCGUACGACCGCCGCAGGACUCUAAUAAAAGAUAAGCGCGAAAAUAUACUUAAUAUAACAAAUACAGUCGAACCUCCAUGAGUCGAUGUUCCUUGACUCGAUAUCGACUCAUGGAGGUAAUUUUUUCCAUACUGAAAAAUAAUUUCUGGGUUACUAUGAUGGUCCCCCCAAAAGGUUCCCAAAGGAUUUUUGUUCCACUACUCGAUAUUUCCUUGAGUCGAUGGUCCCUUCAAUAUCGACUCAUGGAGGUUUUACUGUAACAGAGAGAAACUGUUUGAUAUAAGCUGUACAUUUAUCCAACAAGUCUUGACAAAUAUGGCUGAUUAAAAAUCCUUAUAAUUCAAUAUAACAUGAUUGGUCAGGCAACUGCUAAUUUCCUUGAGCAAUUAUUAGGCUACUACUUAUUGAUUGGAGUUUUAACCUUCCGUAACUCGCGCGGUUGGCUACCUGCGUCAGCACCACGCUAAUGUUGAGUACAAAAAGCGAGAUUUUUUCAACGCGUUGUACAAAAUACAACAGCGCGAUCGCUCGAGGGU